AUCGAACGCUGGCGGCAGGCCUAACACAUGCAAGUCGAACGAGUGGCGGACGGGUGAGUAAUGUCUGGGAACCUGCCUGCUGGAGGGGGAUAACUACUGGAAACGGUUGCUAAUACCGCAUACUAUCGGAUGUGCCCAUAUGGGCUUAUCUAGUAGGUGGGGUAACGGCUCACCUAGGAGACGAUCCCUAGCUGGUCUGAGAGGAUGACCAGCCACACUGGAACUGAUGCACGGACCAGACUCCUACGGGAGGCAGCAGUGGGGAAUAUUGCACAAUGGGCGCAAGCCUGAUGCAGCCAGGCCGGGUGUAUGGAGAAGGCCUUCGGGUUGUAAGGUACUUUCAGCGGGGAGGCGUUACCCGCAGAAGAAGCACCGGCUAACUCCGUGCCAGCAGCCGCGGUAAUAC
rnacentral:rRNA from 1 species